CGCAAAAUAAGACCCGCCCACGACUCAGGGAGUCGUUUCCCUUGUAAAGUUUAAAUGUUGCUGUCUGAUGUUGAUCUGAUCAGAACAGCGCUGCUCAGAGGACGUCAACAAGGAGUCUGGCCAGCACACUGAGGGUCCUUGAGAGACCUGAGGACUUUGACCUCGGCGUGGUGGAGCCUGAACAGAACGGUCCUGAACAGUCUCAGUGCCUCUCACAUCCCAGGUGAAAUGUGGGAUUUGUCUGCAGUGUUGCCGUGAGCGCUGCGCUGAGUUCAGUGUUCAGAGCUGUGCAGGAAGUUGACCAAGAAGCAGCUUCAAGUGGAGCGAACUCUGAGGAGAGGAACCUGGUCUCUGAGAGCAAACAAAGGUGAUGGAUGAGCAACAAGACGAACCACAACAGGAGCCUGAAACAGGAAAACUGAGUAUCUGAGUGUCCGUCCUCUGAUGACAACUCCUUCAUGUCAUGUUUGUUGAGUAGUUUCACUGGCUCAGCACUGUUGACUUUACGUAAUAAACCUUUUUUUUUUAAAAUUA